rnacentral:snRNA from 1 species
GCUAGCUUUGGCUUUUCAUAUAACAACAUUGGAACGAUAUAGAGACGAUUUGAAUAAUCUCUGCGCAAGAUCAAAAUGUACUACUCAACGCCUUUAGUUGAAAUUUU